rnacentral:lncRNA from 1 species
GUGAUCUUAUUGAACUCGAUGAGAACAGCAGGGAUCUGAUUACCUACAUGGAUGCCAUACAGAGGUCCAACUCCGAUUAGUGGUUUGGAGCCAUAAAGUCCGAAAUGGAGUCCAUAAUGGUUAAUGGUGUAUGGAUACUCAUUGAUCCACUCGAAAGGAUAAAAUUCAUAGGAUAUAAGUAGAUCUCCAAUAGGAUCAAAGGCCGC